UACGUAGGCAGCGAGCGUUGUUCGGAGUUACUGGGCGUAAAGGGUGUGUAGGCGGUUGCUUAAGUUUGGUGUGAAAUCUCCCGGCUCAACCGGGAGGGUGCGCCGAAUACUGAGUGACUCGAGUGCGGGAGAGGAGAGUGGAAUUCCUGGUGUAGCGGUGAAAUGCGUAGAUAUCAGGAGGAACACCUGCGGUGUAGACGGCUUGCUGGACCAUGACUGACGCUGAGGCACGAAAGCGUGGGGAGCAAACAGG
rnacentral:rRNA from 1 species